rnacentral:rRNA from 1 species
GACGAACGCUGGCGGCGUGCCUAAUACAUGCAAGUUGAGCGCUGAAGGUUGGUACUUGUACCGACUGGAUGAGCAGCGAACGGGUGAGUAACGCGUGGGGAAUCUGCCUUUGAGCGGGGGACAACAUUUGGAAACGAAUGCUAAUACCGCAUAAAAACUUUAAACACAAGUUUUAAGUUUGAAAGAUGCAAUUGCAUCACUCAAAGAUGAUCCCGCGUUGUAUUAGCUAGUUGGUGAGGUAAAGGCUCACCAAGGCGAUGAUACAUAGCCAACCUAAGAGGGGGAUCGGCCACAUUGGGACUGAGACACGGCCCAAACUCCUACGGGAGGCAGCAGUAGGGAAUCUUCGGCAAUGGACGAAAGUCUGACCGAGCAACGCCGCGUGAGUGAAGAAGGUUUUCGGAUCGUAAAACUCUGUUGGUAGAGAAGAACGUUGGUGAGAGUGGAAAGCUCAUCAAGUGACGGUAACUACCCAGAAAGGGACGGCUAACUACGUGCCAGCCGCCGCGGUAA